rnacentral:rRNA from 1 species
AUGGCUAAUCCCUCGCGUGCGGACAGGGUGGACGGUGUGCCGUUAACAGCCUGUCCUGAUCAGCUCGCUCCCACCCACCUCCCUCACUCGCUCGCUCUCUCUACCUCUCUCAUGGACAGGAUGGCGGCGACGAGAUCUAUCCUAAGCGGAGGAGGAUCCAGCGGUGAUGGCAUGGUGGGUGGGGGCGGAGCAUCCAGCGCAUACAUCGGCGUGGCAAGGGUGUGGAAGAAGAAGAAAUUGUGGCCGAACUUAACUCGGCAUUCUUGCGGUCGGCCUUGCCCAGGUUCACCAGCACCAAGGCAUCAGAGAGGUUCUUGUGUGUCAACUCCUUCAGCAUGUUGGCCCCUGACAUCAUUAGUCAGACCCGAUUGA